rnacentral:lncRNA from 1 species
UGAUUGGCGGCGCGCGGCACACUCGAGGCUAAAAGCUCAGCCAGACAGAUAAACAUUGGGGGAGCUUUUCGCGGCAGUGCACCGGUAGACUCGACGCAAGCUCCACGUCGCGUUUCCCCGCCGCUCGCGCGAGUUUUCCGCGAAUUUUCCUCGCGUGGGCUCCGAGUUUCCCGCCACUGUGUGAAGUUGCAGCUUUUUAUCCUCGAAGUUUGCGCGUACUUUUGCUGAACGUGUGCGUUGAAGUGGCCUUGGUUUUGAAUAUUUUAAAGUUUCCUUUUUGAAUUUUGGCUGAUUGGAAGUGUGACGAUUCCUGGUUUGUGCGCCGAUAACAAUAUUUAUGACGACGAGGGGUUAAUAUCUGCAGUACCUUAGAGGCUCCUCUAGAGAAAUUUACAAGGGAGCAAUACCCAAAAGGAACAUUUCAGGAGAAGCUAACGAAGUCCCAUCCGCGAUGAUAACUUAUCAACGCGAACGCAUAAAGCGAUGAGCGAAACCCGCGCGUCCGACCCCGGAAAUUGGCGAACAUCGAUGACGUCAGAGUGCGUCGCGGCCGAAGUUUGGACUUUGGGUGAUGGAAGCUUGGACUCGGGUCCUGGUGUUGUCUUAGCAACGACGGCGGUGGCGGAUCCUAGGGAUCAGUGCGUCUAGCCGGGGCCGAAAUGCCGGGCAGAGGGAGCCGAGGGUGCGGCGCCCCCAAAUCCAGCCGCUACUUCUUUGUCAGCAUUCUCCACGCCCUCACAAUCAUCUGUCAAGCUAUCACAGACGCACCAAGCUUUGCAGAACCUGUUGCAAACGUGACUGUGCCUCUCGGAAGAAAUGCUUCAUUACAGUGCGUCGUCAACAAUUUAGGUCGAUAUAAGGUAAGCUGUCUCUUCACAAUCUAUGUUUUUUUUAUUAGUUUUAAAAUAUAUCAUUCUGCGCACGAAUCCAUAAAUUAAAUCUUACUCUUUAAAAAGCCGGUGUUGUCUCAG